CCCCCAAGCACCCUGUGUCCUGGCUUCUAAUUCAACAAGGAACUAUUGUUGGUCAGCUCUCUAGAGAGAGAGAGACUGUGGGAUGGCCCAGUGGGUAAAGGUGCUUGCGGCCAAACAUGAAGACCCAAGCUUGAUCCCUAAGACUCCUAAUGGUGGAACUCAAGAGUCCGACUCUGGCAAGUUGUCUUCUGACCAUGCUCACUGUGACACACACACAAACCACACACGCACACACACACACACAUACACACACACAAACCACACACAUACAUACACACAUACACACACAAACCACACAUGUACACACACACACACAUGCAUGCACAUAUAUGCAAUGUUAUAAAAAUGAGACGAACUUGUUGUUGUAAAAAUAUAAGAAUAAAAAUGUAUCGGUGUCUUUUAUUCCACUAGGUCCGCACAGCGGUGCCUAAGAUGUCUGCUAGAUAUCUUGGUGGAAACACAUCCCCACUCC
rnacentral:lncRNA from 1 species